AAAGGGAUGCGAAGCCGUGAGGCAGAGCGAACCCCAAAAAAGACCGUCCCAGUUCGGAUCGCAGGCUGCAACCCGCCUGCGUGAAGUCGGAAUCGCUAGUAAUCGCGGAUCAGCAUGCCGCGGUGAAUACGUUCCCGGGCCUUGUACACACCGCCCGUCACACCAUGAGAGUCGGGAACACCCGAAGUCCGUAGCCUAACAGCAAUGAGGGCGCGGCCGAAGGUGGGUUCGAUAAUUGGGGUGAAGUCGUAACAAGGUACC
rnacentral:rRNA from 1 species